rnacentral:lncRNA from 10 species
CCUCGCCAGCCCGAGUCUGGGUGCCUCCAGUGAUAGGAGAAGCCAGCUUCUUCCAAAGCAGAAUGGCUAUGCUUGUGAGAAAUUACUUCCUAAUUCUGAGCCCCAAUCUUUUUCCUUUAAGUUUCCUUAACCAGCGCUAGACACUGUGUCCUUUCUAUGUGUUUCUCUAAUACUAGGAACAAAGCCUCCAUGCUCCAGUCUCCUCUUCCAAAUUACACAUCCAGAGUGUCUUCAAUGAACUUGGCUUCCAGAGUGUUCAUGAACCAGAUCAGGAGAGAAUAGACAUCUAUGAACAAAUCCAAAAGAGAACAGACUCUCAGAAGGUUGGGAUUCUAGUUUGGCAGCUGAAAUAGCCGGAAGAGUGAGAUAUCCAAAUAUCUUGGAGCUGUCAACGAGCUGCAUUGGCACCAGAGGAGCAAAAGCCAGCGCCGCGCAGGCUCACCGGCACCAUAAGCGACUGCGCCCGCUCCUGAGGCGGCAGCACUUACUGUACAGGAAAGCAAGUCACAAAUACGCAUCCUCAAGGCCAAAACUCUGCUUUGCAUAUUUUCACAGAAUAACUGGUUUUGCUUUUUUUUUUUUUUUUUUUUUUUUUUUUUUUUUUUUUUUUUUUUUUUUUUUGGUAAAGAGCUAAUGGGGGCAGAAAGGCAGAAACUGGAUAAAUAUUCUUCUCUCGCCUCCACCAACAGAAGUGAUAUCUGAGUGAUUCUGAUCCUGUGUAGGAGUCAGAGAGGGCAGGAGCCGCAUCAGAAAGGCUGGCGGCAUUGUUCACCGAGUCAAUCUCAAGUGCCUGACGGUCAGCAGACCGGCUCAAAGAAACCCUCGCAAUGACAGGCACAGAGAGCAAAGGGCACACAAGAUUCCCUCUGACAAUCGUCUCAAGCAAAUGAACAUCCACUCAAAUGAUGCACCCAAAGGCCGUACAGAGAAUAAAGGAGCAUUCCUGUGUGUUGACCACAACACCCGGCACACAACGUCACGUGAAAUCUUGGACCUAACGAUCACACCAGAAACAGAUUCAAAACAUUUUCACCAUUCCAAACAAAGGACAGUAUAGGAAAGAAACCGUCAUUUUCCCUUCCACUCCCACAGACCAAAAUGCACCUCAUAAAAAUUAUCUUCAUUUCUUAGAUAAGGAGUCGCCGAAACAAUCCCUUCACAAGCCUCUCACUGGUACACCCUGGUACUGAAUGAGAGAGGAGAGGACUCUCAUCUUCUGACCCAGGGAAGCGUGCUGUCUGGUAAGCUUUGAGUCUUU